UUAAAAGAUCACAAACGUUUAAUUUAAUUUACUCUGAAACUAAAACAUCGAUAGUUUAAAUUAAAAUAUUAAAAUAUUCACUUUACUGUCACAUUAGAGUUAGAGUUAGUUAAGAACCUGGUUUAAAGGUUUAAGGUUCUUCUAUAAAGAGAACAUGAACAUAAAGGAGUUUAUGUCCACAUGCUUUGGUCCAUGUGCUGCACACGGUCUCCAUGGUUACUAGAUGAUCGGUCUCCAUGGUUACUAGAUGAUCGGUCUCCAUGGUUACUAGAUGAUGUUUUGCACUCGUGUCUCAGGACUUCACUGAUGCCUUUACCCAGUUACAGCUUAAAGGAGCGUUUUAGCUUAGCAUGUUAGCAUCUCCUGCCAUCGGAGAACAUUAGCCCUUAGCUUAGCAUGUUAGCGUCUCCUGCCAUCGCAGAACAUUAGCCCUUAGCUUAGCAUGUUAGCUUAAAUGGCAAACCUCCCUGACACUUAAUUUUCCUUCUGGGUGAACCUCACGUAAAGUUAACGUCUGGAGGGUUCUAUGGGGUUCUGCAGGGUUCUGGAAGGUUCUGCAGGGUUCUGCAGGGUCAACUAUGCGCUCUGAUUUAAACUGAGUUUUUAUUUCUUUUGUUAAAAUGUUCUGAAAUAAAACCGAAGAAUUUAA